rnacentral:rRNA from 1 species
AUGGGAGGUGGAAACAAGCAGUGCGGCAACGACACCAACAGCAGAGGCCUUGGGGGCUACUACCCAAGCGCCUACUCGUCUCCGCCCAUCGCGUACCCUGCAUACCCCCCUCCACAAGCCGGGCAUGGAUGCCCUCCUGCCUAUUACCCUCCACAGCCACAGGGAUAUGGGCAUGGCUAUCCAUCAGCAGGAGCAUACGGGUGUCCACCCUCCAGCUAUCCCCACCAUCAAGGUGGCUAUCACGGUCACGGAGGAUCUUUGCUUGUUGCCGGCGGUGCGGCGGCGGCGGCGGCCUAUGGCGCGCAUCACUUGAGCCAUGGCCAUCACGGCCACGGCGGAUAG